UACGAAGGGGGCGAGCGUUGUUCGGAAUUACUGGGCGUAAAGGGCGCGCAGGCGGUCCUUCAAGUCAGAUGUGAAAGCCCCGGGCUCAACCUGGGAACUGCAUUUGAGACUGGAGGACUUGAGGACGGGAGAGGAGAGUGGAAUUCCCAGUGUAGAGGUGAAAUUCGUAGAUAUUGGGAAGAACACCGAUGGCGAAGGCAGCUCUCUGGACCGUUACUGACGCUGAGGCGCGAAAGCGUUGGGAGCAAACAGG
rnacentral:rRNA from 1 species